rnacentral:rRNA from 1 species
CCUACGGGGGGCAGCAGUGGGGGAUAUUGCACAAUGGGGGGAACCCUGAUGCAGUGACGCCGCGUGGGUGAAGAAGCGCCUCGGCGCGUAAAGCCCUGUCAGCAGGGAAGAAAAUGACGGUACCUGAAGAAGAAGCCCCGGCUAACUACGUGCCAGCAGCCGCGGUAAUACGUAGGGGGCAAGCGUUAUCCGGAUUUAUUGGGUUUAAAGGGUGCGUAGGCGGAUUUUUAAGUCAGCGGUAAAAUGUCCGGGCUCAACCCGGGCCGGCCGUUGAAACUGGGGAUCUUGAGUGGGCGAGAAGUAUGCGGAAUGCGUGGUGUAGCGGUGAAAUGCGUAGAUAUUAGGAGGAACACCAGUGGCGAAGGCGGCCUACUGGACGGUGACUGACGCUGAGGCUCGAAAGCGUGGGGAGCAAACAGGAUUAGAUACCCGAGUAGUC